GAUGAACGCUGGCGGCGUGCCUAAUACAUGCAAGUCGAGCGAAUGGAUUAAGAGCUUGCUCUUAUGAAGUUAGCGGCGGACGGGUGAGUAACACGUGGGUAACCUGCCCAUAAGACUGGGAUAACUCCGGGAAACCGGGGCUAAUACCGGAUAACAUUUUGAACCGCAUGGUUCGAAAUUGAAAGGCGGCUUCGGCUGUCACUUAUGGAUGGACCCGCGUCGCAAUUAGCUAGUUGGUGAGGUAACGGCUCACCAAGGCAACGAUGCGUAGCCGACCUGAGAGGGGGAUCGGCCACACUGGGACUGAGACACGGCCCAGACUCCUACUGGAGGCAGCAGUAAGGAAUCUUCCGCAAUGGACGAAAGUCUGACGGAGCAACGCCGCGUGAGUGAUGAAGGCUUUCGGGUCGUAAAACUCUGUUGUUAGGGAAGAACAAGUGCUAGUUGAAUAAGCUGGCACCUUGACGGUACCUAACCAGAAAGCCACGGCUAACUACGUGCCAGCCGCCGCGGUAA
rnacentral:rRNA from 1 species